rnacentral:rRNA from 1 species
GGCGGCGUGCUUACACAUGCAAGUCGAACGAACCUUCGGGUUAGUGGCGGACGGGUGAGUAACGCGUGAGAAUCUGCCCUCAGGAGGGGGACAACAGUUGGAAACGACUGCUAAUACCCCAUAUGCCGCGAGGUGAAAUGAAUUUCGCCUGAGGAUGAGCUCGCGUCUGAUUAGCUAGUUGGUGUAGGUAAUGGCUCACCAAGGCAUCGAUCAGUAGCUGGUCUGAGAGGAUGAUCAGCCACACUGGGACUGAGACACGGCCCAGACUCCUACGGGAGGCAGCAGUGGGGAAUUUUCCGCAAUGGGCGAAAGCCUGACGGAGCAACGCCGCGUGAGGGAUGAAGGCCUCUGGGCUGUAAACCUCUUUUAUCAAGGAAGAAGAUCUGACGGUACUUGAUGAAUAAGCCACGGCUAAUUCCGUGCCAGCAGCCGCGGUAAUACGGGAGUGGCAAGCGUUAUCCGGAAUUAUUGGGCGUAAAGCGUCCGCAGGCGGCCCUUCAAGUCUGCUGUUAAAAAGUGGAGCUUAACUCCAUCAUGGCAGUGGAAACUGUUGGGCUUGA